GGGGAUUUAGCUCAGUGGCAUAAGCGCCUGCCUCAAAAGCAGGAGGUCGUGAGUUCAAUACCUG
rnacentral:tRNA from 1 species